GAGCUCCAGAUAAGAAAUUCUGUUUUACUGGUACCAACUGCAAUACAGCGUGAAGAUGAAAUGACAUCAAGCAUCCACUGAAGACUUUAAUCACUAAAAACAAUGUGUAGUCAAAUUAAAUAAAG